rnacentral:rRNA from 1 species
UCAAUAAGCGGAGGAAAAGAAACUAACAAGGAUUCCCCUAGUAACUGCGAGUGAAGCGGGAAAAGCUCAAAUUUAAAAUCUGGUGGUCUUUUGGCCAUCCGAGUUGUAAUUUAGAGAAGCGUCUUCCGCGCUGGACCGUACACAAGUCUCCUGGAACGGAGCGUCAUAGAGGGUGAGAAUCCCGUCUUUGGUACGGACCCCCAGGGCUUCUGUGAUGCGCUCUCGAAGAGUCGAGUUGUUUGGGAAUGCAGCUCAAAAUGGGUGGUGAACUCCAUCUAAAGCUAAAUAUUGGCGAGAGACCGAUAGCGAACAAGUACCGUGAGGGAAAGAUGAAAAGCACUUUGGAAAGAGAGUGAAACAGUACGUGAAAUUGUUGAAAGGGAAACGCUUAAAGUCAGUCGCGUCGACCGAGACUCAGCCUCGCUCCGGCUUGGUGUAUUUCUCGGCCCGACGGGUCAGCGUCAAUUUGGUCCCUCGGAUAAUGGCAACGGAAAGGUGGCACCUUUGCGGGUGUGUUAUAGUCUUUUGUCGCAUGCGAGGGGCGAGAUUGAGGAACUCAGCACGCGCGCCCUUCUGGGUGUGUCGGGGCCUCGGCCCACGCCACGUGCUUAGGAUGCUGGCGUAAUGGCUUUAAACGACCCGUCUUGAAACACGGACCAAGGAGUCUAACAUGCCCGCGAGUGUUCGGGUGGAAAACCCGUGCGCGUAAUGAAAGUGAAAGUUGGGACCUUCGUCGUGAAGGGCACCGACGCCCGGACCAGACCUUCUGUGACGGAUCUGCGGUGGAGCGUGCAUGUUGGGACCCGAAAGAUGGUGAACUAUGCCUGAAUAGGGUGAAGCCAGAGGAAACUCUGGUGGAGGCUCGUAGCGAUUCUGACGUGCAAAUCGAUCGUCAAAUUUGGGUAUAGGGGCGAAAGACUAAUCGAACCAUCUAGUAGCUGGUCUGC